AGGACAAAAAGCCUGAUUCAAGGAGACGCAACAGGCGUAACAAGAAAGGAAAAGGAAACAAUCAAGGUGUAGAAGCUCAGCCCAUAGAUGCACCUAUGAUUAGAUCUUAUGCCGCAGUCUUAAAGACUGGUCUGGCAUAAAUACCCCGACUUAAAAGAAUUAAACAGCAGUAAUCUGCAGUGUAUCAUGGAAGCGYGAUAGACAGGUUAAUCAUUAAGGAUUAUCAUCACUGCAGAGCUGCAUCGGGGCACAAAUGGGCUGAAACAAUUUAUAUAACAAGAUGAAUAAACAUGAAGAAUAAUAAUAUACAAUAAUAACUUGCAAUUAUUAGCAAAAUUUGCAUACUUAAAAUAAUGAAAAACACUUAUACACAUACACACUGGCACAUAGACGUAUCAUCAGUUUAAUAAAAUAUUCCAUUA